AUUUCCAUUAGUAAGUUCUUAAAUGCAUUAUAAGAUAAGAACUUGGAUUCUAGGAUAAGAACUUGGAUUCUAGGUUAAUUAAAAGGAACAAAACUAUGCCAUCAUUUUGAAACAUAUGGAACUCUUGGUCAUUUUAGUUUUUUACCAAUUUGCUUACCCUUCAGGCACAAAAUUGUGUUACAAUGCCACGACUAGACAAUUGCAUUUGUUAUUUCUAGUAUUUCACAUGUUUGACUUGACAACCCCGCUAAAGUAUUUAAUUAGACAAGCAAGUUCUUGAUAGGAAGCUAAGUUUGUUGUUGAAUUUUCAGAGCUUCUUGGCAUGGAUGUUAGACCAUACACUUUCAGUUAUGUGGAACUAUAGACUGCUACAGGUAGCUUCAGUUAUGAAAAUAAGCUUGGAGAGGGAGGACAUGGACCAGUUUAUAAGGGAACACUCAUAGAUGGAAGAGUAAUUGCUACGAAGCAAUUAUCUGUAGCAUCCCACCAAGGGAAAAGCCGGUUUGUUGCAGAAAUUGCUACUAUAUCUGCUGUGUAGCACCAUAACCUAGUAAAACUUCAUGGAUGUUGUUGUGAUGAGAGACCACAACGAAUCCUUGUUUAUGAAUAUCUGCAAAACAAUAGUGUUGAUAAAGCAUUAUUUGCAGGAAAAGAAAGUUUGGACUGUGACUGGUCAACAUGCUAUGAUAUUUGUUUAGGAGUAGCAAGAGGUCUAGCUUAUCUUCAUGAGGAAUCAAGGCUUUGAGUUAUACAUAGAGACGUGAAAGCCAUUAAUGUUCUACUUGAUGAUAAUCUCAUCCCCAAAAUAUCAGAUUUUGGUUUGACCAAACUUUAUGAUGAUAAGAAGACUCACAUAAGCACUCGUGUUGCAGGCACAAUGUUGUUAGUGGGAGGCCAAACUUGAAUUCAAGCUUGGAAGAAGAGAAGAUGUAUCUUCUUGAUGAUUGGGCUUGGCACCUAUACAAGAACAAUCGCUAACUCGAGCUAGUGGACUCAAAAUUGUCAGAAUUCAGUGAGGAAGAAGUAAAAGGCCUGAUAGGAGUAGCACUUUUGUGUACACAGACCUUGCCCUCCUCGAGGCCAUCAAUAUCCCGCAUGAUUGUUAUGCUUUGUGGAGAUAUGGAAGUGAGUACAAUAAAUUCUAAGCCUGGAUACUUGACUGAAUGGGCAUUUAAUGAUGUGACCACCUUUGUUAGUGAUGAUAUAAAUGAAGAAUGUGAAGAUGCUAGCUAUUACAUCUCCUCAACAAGGUUACGAACAACGCAUAAAACUCCAGAAAUAAGUGCUAGUGAAGCCCUGCUCCAUUGAUCGGUUUUUCCUUUAGAUUCCAGUUUUAUUUCAUGUUAGGUCAACAAAAUUGUUAUUCAUAAUGUUAAAAAAUUUAAGACCAAUAAACUCAAGUAAAAAAGGUAUGGAAUAGAUCUUGAACUACUUACCUGUUAAACAAGCACAGGACUGAAUCUUCACUAGGAAAUGGAAAUA